CACAAACACCCUCAAACUCCACGCCGGUCUCACAACAUUAUUUGGGCCCGCUGCUUCGCAGCAACCCUAUCGUCAAACCCGCAGCAGGACCCUGAGCUGCUUUCAGUGAUCGUUCCUUCUUGUUGUUGUGUUUCAACAGAGUGUUCCACCAGGAGCUCAACACCCACCGACGUGAUUGUUCCUCAUGACAAGCAACGAUGGCACUGAUGUGUCUGAUCCGCCGCUACGCCUCAAAGGCAGACGAGCAAGACGCAAAGGCGGCAGCAGCAGAUACUACCAGCCAUAUUAAAGACUUCCCCCGCAAACUCUUUGAGCUGUGAAAUGUUUGACGCUUUAAGAGAGCAGCCAAAGCAGGUUGCCAGGUGAGAGCUGGCAACCCCCUCUCAUCCUUAUCCGCCCCCCCUCCCGUUUCUUAUAUAGGAUGCUUCGCUCGUUGCUGCAGUCACUGGAAAUUGCAACUGUGUCAGCAAGUUCCAGAUGUCAGUUAUGCAAUGAUGUUUAAUUACAGCAAGUUAUACCUAGAUGAUGCGUGCGCUCUUAUGUGCACAUGUGCUCCUUUAAAUGGCGGGUCACUGAAGUUUGCAUUUCAAAUAGACAGGGUUUCUUUUGAAUUCUGUUGGUCUCUUUUGCAUUUUAAAUAUGCUAUAAGUACACACUGAAUUUACGAGAACAUGGAAGUCAUUGUCUCAGCCCACAGCUUCGUUCACUCUAAAAGUAAAGCGCACAUUUUACCGAUUAUGUCUUGGAUCUGCAAAAACUCAACGAGGGAUUCUUGAUGGUGAAUUUGCACUGAUAUUUUCACACUUUGAACAUGCCUUUGUCAGGGCCGUGAAACUGAAAGGGAAGAUUUGCAAGCCAAUCAGCAGCUGUGCAACAGUUAUUUUUCUCUGAGCUGCUGAAUAAAUAACAGGAUAUACAGUGCAAGAUUAUCACAGCAUCUGAGGUUAACUGGGGUGAAUAAAGCAGUGAGAGGUUAAUCCCCAGAUCACUAAGGCCUAUUAGCAUACCUUACUUAUAGCUUAUCAGUAUCUUGUUAUAGAGCCUAUUAGAUAAAAAGAUAUAGUACUGUAUACUUUUUCAGAGGUAGAUAAUCUCUGUUUACCGUUUUCCUUAGGAAGAUGCGAUGACAGUCGGCUGUAUUUGUAUUAACAGUUACUCCUAACAGCACAGAGCACGUCACACUGUAGAUCUCUUUAAAACCGAAUGGGGGAGUAAUAUUUAGAAAGUAUAUGGCAACAAUGGCAAAAGGGUAUUUGAAGUUUCAUAGCAUUGCCAUUAGGACUAGAACAAAAAAAAUAUGCCUCCUGUCAUAAAAUGCACUUACUGAUUUGAAGAACUGCAGUUGUUGAAACAUUAAAAUAUUCCUGUGAUG